rnacentral:rRNA from 1 species
AGCGAACGCUGGCGGCAGGCUUAACACAUGCAAGUCGAGCGGGCAUCUUCGGGUGUCAGCGGCGGACGGGUGAGUAACGCGUGGAACGUGCCUUCUGGUUCGGAAUAACUCAGGGAAACUUGAGCUAAUACCGGAUACGCCCUUUUGGGGAAAGGUUUACUGCCGGAAGAUCGGCCCGCGUCUGAUUAGCGAGUUGGUGGGGGAACGGCCUACCAAGGCGACGAUCAGUAGCUGGUCUGAGAGGAUGAUCAGCCACACUGGGACUGAGACACGGCCCAGACUCCUACGGGAGGCAGCAGUGGGGAAUAUUGGACAAUGGGCGCAAGCCUGAUCCAGCCAUGCCGCGUGAGUGAUGAAGGCCUUAGGGUUGUAAAGCUCUUUUAUCCGGGACGAUAAUGACGGUGCCGGAGGAAUAAGCCCCGGCUAACUUCGUGCCAGCAGCCGCCGUAA